UCCUACCGUGUCCCUCACGAGCUCUGUGUUGACAAACACAACCCUCCAGUGCCAUCAAGCCUGGAGCCACUGGUGCAGGGCAGAGGGGCUCUCAAUGUGCCCACGCUGCUGUAGCCAGACCCAUCCUUUGGGAAUUGUCCCUAGGAGGAGUGAUGCCUCAGAUUUUAGAUUUUAUAUUUUUCAGAUUCUGUGCUGCUUUAGUGUGUAUUUCUGAGCUUCAUAUUUCGGCAUAGUAAGCUCUCUUCACAGAGCAGGGAGACAAAACAAUUCCUUCUCUAGCUGGGGACCAAGGACAAAUGAUCCAAAUCUCAGGCCCAAGAGCAUAAACAUCGUGGGCUGAAGAGAGAAAAACAAGAAAGAUGGGACUCGGACAAUUAACUCCAAUGUGCAAAUGGACCAAAAGUUAUACAAGUGUGAGGCCCCGUGACUGGUCAUCCAUUUUGUGCCCAUUUUGGUUCAUCUUGGGUGUAGCCCUGGCCAGGCUCUUGUGCUGCCCGAGGUGCAUCCAUUGAGGCCUUCCAAUAAACAGAGGCCUUCUACUUCAUUCUUUAGCUCUGCCCAGUCUCUGUUCUAGGUCAGCCUUCACAGGGCAUCAGGGGCAGUGGCACUUACCAGGCCAUGGAAAUCACUGCCACAGGGGGCAGGAGCCACCAGUAGUAGUCCCCUUUGUCAGAGUAGACGGCCAUGAGCAGGCCCACCAGGAUCCCGUUGUAGCCGUGCAGGCCAGCCGCGAUGGAUGGCCUGCGAUGGAGACAAUUGUGAGACAGAAAGCUUUGCUGAAGGCAGCCCGUCUCUGGGGCCCACGGAAAUGCAAUUUAUAACAACAAUUUAUCAUGUGUUUCCCUGGUAACUACAACAUCGUGAACCUUCCUUGAAAACUCCAUUGGGAUUCCUGCAAUGUUUGUGAGCAUAAUGAAUGUCUUCUUCCAGGCUCACUGGGAAGUUGGAGCAUGGUGGUGAGAAUAAUUGCCUCGUUAGGAAUAAGUGAACUGAAUGAAAUCAGCCCAGUGGUGUGAGCAAUAACAUUUGGUAGCAGUCAGGCUCUGGUGUGCUGAGCUCCUGCCUGCUCAGCAGAUCAGUGUUUCAGAGCAAUCUCCCAAAGUCACCCACUGCCGCCCCCACAUCUGCCUGACCAGGGAGCCAGAGGUGACUUCCCCAGCAUGGACUGGAGUAAUGUAACUCUGCUGAAGAGGAAAUCUCUCCAUUGUCACCUUACUUGCCAUCAAUUAUUUGGGCCUCUCCAGAGUGUAUUCUGCAUCUGAUUCAACUUCUACACAUACAGCAUCAAAACAGACUUUAUUUUUCCUGGUAAAUCUUGCACAGAAUGGAUUCUAGCAUAUGAUUUUGCAUAUCUGGCUUAGAUAAGACAAUCACUCAGGUGCUUUUUGUGUCAUAGAUGUCCAGCUUGAGAUGAUCUAGAACUCAGUUGAGGCAGGUCAGGUGCACUUAAACUGUCCCUUUGCCUAAAUAAAUCACCUUGUGGAAAAAUC